rnacentral:tRNA from 1 species
GGGGAUGUGUCGAAAUUGGCAGACGAGCAUGGCUUAGGACCAUGUGGGUUUACCCCCGUGAGAGUUCGAGUCUCUCCAUCCCCA